AGCACAAAUUUUACUUGAGUAGUAUUAGGACAUCCUUGUCAUUUAUAAUCUAGUCUUAUACACAACAAGAUAUAUAUUUAACCUAAUUUUGAGACUGACGAUUGCAGUGUAAACGUUAAUUACCAUAGCACUAGUUAGAUGUAUUUAAAUGAAAAACUCUAUAGCAUUACAUAGAAGGUGUGACUCUCCAAUUCUACUGUUUUUUUGAAAAGUGAGUGGCUUGUUUAUGCAUUACAAAGGCACAAAUGUUACAACUGCUACUUUUAUAAAUUUGUCUACUGCAAUGCAAGUAAAACUAGAUACAGGUUAACACUGAGGUAAAAAUUUGCAAUUCCUUAGAACAGUAGCAUAUUACAAACAAAAUUACACCUUUUUUUUUAAACAAAAAAAGCUUGCAUAUGGCAUGCUUACUUAUUUGUAGUACAUGAAACAGUACAUAUACAGCACAAUGUAGUAUUUACAUUUUGUAUUACAAAGGUUGACUGGUUUGAGUGGCUGAACUACUAUUUCAGAGUGACAAAACUAAUACAAUGUCUUUAAAACUGAAAAUCAUCAUGCACAUAACCCCAUCGGUAACAGUAUCUUCAGCAGAUAAAGUUCCAGUUUUGUGCAAGUUCAGG